rnacentral:rRNA from 1 species
UGGGGAAUCUUCCGCAAAUGGGGCGCAAGCCUGACGGAGCAACGCCGCGUGAGUGAAGAAGGGUUUCGACUCGUAAAGCUCUGUUGUCGGGGACGAAUGUCAGGACUCAGAAUAUGGGUCUUGAAUGACGGUACCUGACGAGGAAGCCACGGCUAACUACGUGCCAGCAGCCGCGGUAAUACGUAGGUGGCGAGCGUUGUCCGGAAUCAUUGGGCGUAAAGGGAGCGCAGGCGGGAGAUCAAGUCUAUCUUAAAAGUGCGGGGCUCAACCCCGUGAGGGGAUGGAAACUGGUCUUCUUGAGUGCAGGAGAGGAAAGCGGAAUUCCUAGUGUAGCGGUGAAAUGCGUAGAUAUUAGGAGGAACACCAGUGGCGAAGGCGGCUUUCUGGACUGUA